CUACGGGGCGCACCAGUGGGGAAUAUUGCACAAUGGAGGAAACUCUGAUGCAGCAACGCCGCGUGGAGGAUGACACUUUUCGGAGCGUAAACUCCUUUUAUAUAGGAAGAAGAUGACGGUACUAUAUGAAUUAGCGCCGGCUAACUCCGUGCCAGCAGCCGCGGUAAUACGGAGGGCGCAAGCGUUACUCGGAAUCACUGGGCGUAAAGAGCGUGUAGGCGGAUUAAAAAGUCAGAAGUGAAAUCCUAUAGCUUAACUAUAGAACUGCUUCUGAAACUCUUAAUCUAGAAUAUGGGAGAGGUAGAUGGAAUUUCUGGUGUAGGGGUAAAAUCCGUAGAGAUCAGAAGGAAUACCGAUUGCGAAGGCGAUCUACUAGAACAUUAUUGACGCUGAGACGCGAAAGCAUGGGGAGCAAACAGGAUUAGAUACCCCGGUAGUC
rnacentral:rRNA from 1 species